CGCCGCCUUUGUUCCUCCCCAGCACUCUGCUGCGCCCUGGGCGCAGUACUGGCCCGGUUCCUGCACCCGCACUGCGGCGGCGGCGGGGCUUGAGGAUUUGGGGCUAAGCUAAACCUCACAAAACAUACCACCACCCUCGCCCAGAGAGCUUACAAAAGAAAAGAGCUUAAAGGUUUUCCAAGUAGAGCCUGGGGGCGCUGACUCCACCCAACGGCCACAAAGAGCCGAAGCCGAUUCUCACCAUGGUUGCUGCUUCGCGACUGCCGAGCUGAUGGCGGAGACGAAGAGGAGAGGUUGUUGCUUCUUACAGCGCGACUCUUAGGCGGUCGAUGUAAGAGAACCUGCGGCACAUGGGCGGAUGCGGCUCCCUAUAUACAACUCGGUCACCAUGGGGAUGGGCCGGGGCCUUUUCCUGUUGGUCCAGACCCCCAAUCUGCCCAGAGAAGCCAUGACAGGAGACUGGUGAUUGGUGCAAGCGACGUGGGAUGAGUUGGAGAACCGGAAACUGUGUGCCUCCUUGUGUGAUGCAGUGUGAAGCGCACAGCACAGCCUGUGAGAUA
rnacentral:sRNA from 1 species